UUGCUCUUGAUUGAAACAGCUUGAACAAUUAUUGCAUCACAAGUACCAACCAUUAUUAUUAUUUGGCAGGACUUGAAUAAUGCAGAGUGGAAAUGAAACCCAAGAUUAUUAAACACUUAGCCUAUGCAGUAAUUCUUCAAAUUUGCAUUGGAAUAGGCUUUUGUUACAGACAUGGUCCCACUUCAUUUUUCUGGGAAGAAGCAGUGAGAACAAAGAUCAGAAAACUACAUGGAAAUUGACAGAACCCUUGAGGGGCUUCAUAUGAACAUGGACAAAAACUAAAACUAGUGUUGAUUCUCUCUCUUGUUUUUGAAAUGUUCAUUAAUGGUGGUGGUACCAAUCAACAUGUAUUUGAUCUAAUAACUGGUUUGGAAGGGCUUGACUGUCUUCAGAUCACCAACA
rnacentral:misc_RNA from 1 species